rnacentral:misc_RNA from 1 species
UGAACGCACCUUGCACCCUUUGGUAUUCCGAAGGGUACGCCCGUUUGAGUGUCAUUGUACUCUCAACCCUACAACUUUUGUUGUGUGGGUUGGACUUGGGUCCCGUCGCGAUCUGCGACCGAUCCGAAAUGUAUUAGCGUGUGUCCGUCGUGACGAUAAACCGAUUGUUAAAUUUCAUCGGGCUCGCUCUGUCGAGGUUGUCUGACGAAAGCACAUGCCGAACCCCCCUUUACUUUGACAAUUUGACCUCAAAUCGGGUGGGAUCACCCGCUGAACUUAA